rnacentral:lncRNA from 1 species
AAUUAUUAUUAAUUUAAUAACUAAAAUUUUAAAAUAACUUUUUUAAGUUUUAAUUUAAUUAAUUCACAAUUUUUCAUUUUUUAAAUUAUAAAAAUGAGUGCUAAUCAUUUUUCUUAGCUAGAUACAGAAUAUAUAACCAAUAUAAAGAAUUUAAAUACAUAUUUAUAAACAUUAAAAAUCAAAUGUUUUUAUAAUUAUCACAGAAUUUCAUUUUUGAAGAUUUGCUAUGGUACCUAAAUGUUUGAGUUUGUCGAUACAGAUAAUUUCUGAUAUAUGUAGGCUAUACAGUAUUUGUGUAGUGAUUCCCUGGCCUACAAGAAAAAUCUGAUUAAAGCAGCAACAUUUGAUAUUAGAUUAGGUUUUAGUUAUGCUGCCAUAUUGCACAUAGGAUAUAUUGUAAGUGAAGAUUCUCACCUAUAGAAUCCAUUAUAAGCUUCCCCAUAUUCUUAAUGAGAUCAAAGAAGGUUGAAGGAUGGGGUUCAGUGGGCUGAGUUGGGACAUCUGAAAAACUGGAGGAUUCUGAAUUAAAUUUGUCAUUCAAAAUGAUAAGCAUUUGUUUUAUUAUGCAAAUGUAAACUAUUUUUAUUGUUAAUUUUGUGACACAUUAAUUCUGUAUAGGGUAUGUUUUGACACAUAUAAGGUUUGACAUAGAGGGUUUUGUAGAAUAAUUGAUUUUUUUUUAUACAAGUCUGGGAGUGUUUGUAUUUUUGUCAUAUUGCUGCACUAUAUCAGUUUUCAUAAUUUGUAUUUAAUUUUCAUAUUUUUAUAUCUAUAUUUCAUAUUUAAUUUUUGUGUUCUUAUUUUUUCUGGAUAAACUGUUUGUAAAUUAGUAAGUAUGAGUCAUCUAAGAAGAGCUAUAUCUUUUGGAUGAUUGUAAUGUAAAAGGAAAUGCAGGGUGUUGUGGAACUUGAUUACCCUAACUUCAUCUAUGAUGAUAUAUGGUUAGAAAUACAAUCAUGACUUUGUUAUUUUCGACUCGUUGUUUUUUUGUUAAAAGAAAAAAUACAAGUCUACUAAAAGCUGGGUUUCAGUCAUUAAACACAAUGCAAAUAUGUCAGUGUAUCGAUGCUGAUGAUGAUUCUUCUGCUAUAUGCUAGAUGUUGUGUCUUUACACCAAAGUACAAGAGUGUGCUUUGGUGUAAAGAUAUAGCAAUACCCAAUUGGACGAAUAGUCAGUCCAAGAGAGUGCUGACCAUUCAUCCAAUUGGGUAUGAGCUGGUUAUUAUCGAAACUUUCUUGUUCUCUGAAAUGAUAUAUAUCAUGCAUUCAUGAUAUAUAUCAUUUCAGAGAAUUUUUUAUUCUUUUAGAUUUUGAAUUUUGUGGUGGCAAAACCAUAUUCAAUAAUUUUAUGAAUGAAGC